UACGGAAGGCAGCAGUAGGGGAAUCUUCCGCAAUGGGCGAAAGCCUGACGGAGCAACGCCGCGUGAGUGAUGAAGGUCUUCGGAUCGUAAAACUCUGUUAUCAGGGAAGACAAACGUGUAAGUAACUGUGCACGUCUUGACGGUACCUGAUCAGAAAGCCACGGCUAACUACGUGCCAGCAGCCGCGGUAAUACGUAGGUGGCAAGCGUUAUCCGGAAUUAUUGGGCGUAAAGCGCGCGUAGGCGGUUUUUUUAAGCUGAUGUGAAAGCCCACGGCUCAACCGUGGAGGGUCAUUGGAAACUGGAAACUUGAGUGCAGAAGAGGAAAGUGGAAUUCCAUGUGUAGCGGUGAAAUGCGCAGAGAUAUGGAGGAACACCAGUGGCGAAGGCGACUUUUCUGGUCUGUAACUGACGCUGAUGUGCGAAAGCGUGGGGAUCAAACAGGAUUAGAUAACC
rnacentral:rRNA from 1 species